UACGGAGGGUGCGAGCGUUAAUCGGAAUUACUGGGCGUAAAGGGUGCGUAGGUGGUAGAUUAAGUUAUGUGUAAAAUCCCUGGGCUUAACCUGGGCAGGUCAUAUAAAACUGAUUUACUCGAGUAUGGGAGAGGGUAGUGGAAUUUCCGGUGUAGCGGUGAAAUGCGUAGAGAUCGGAAGGAACACCAGCGGCGAAGGCGGCUACCUAGCCUAAUACUGACACUGAGGCACGAAAGCGUGGGGAGCAAACAGG
rnacentral:rRNA from 1 species